AGAACGAACGCUGGCAGCAGGCUUAACACAUGCAAGUCGAACGCAUCCUUCGGGGUGAGUGGCAGACGGGUGAGUAACACGUGGGAACGUACCCUUUGGUUCGGAAUAACCCUGGGAAACUAGGGCUAAUACCGGAUGUGGCCGUGAGGCGAAAGGUUUACUGCCAAAGGAUCGGCCCGCGUCCGAUUAGCUAGUUGGUGUGGUAAUGGCGCACCAAGGCGACGAUCGGUAGCUGGUCUGAGAGGAUGACCAGCCACAUUGGGACUGAGACACGGCCCAAACUCCUACGGGAGGCAGCAGUGGGGAAUAUUGGACAAUGGGCGCAAGCCUGAUCCAGCCAUGCCGCGUGAGUGAUGACGGCCUUAGGGUUGUAAAGCUCUUUUACCUGGGAAGAUAAUGACGGUACCAGGAGAAUAAGCCCCGGCUAACUUCGUGCCAGCAGCCGCGGUAAUACGAAGGGGGCUAGCGUUGUUCGGAUUUACUGGGCGUAAAGGGCGCGUAGGCGGGCUGAUAAGUCAGGGGUGAAAUCCCAAGGCUCAACCUUGGAACUGCCUUUGAUACUGUUAGUCUUGAGUCCGGGAGAGGUGAGUGGAACUGCGAGUGUAGAGGUGAAAUUCGUAGAUAUUCGCAAGAACACCAGUGGCGAAGGCGGCUCACUGGCCCGGAACUGACGCUGAGG
rnacentral:rRNA from 1 species